AGAGAAGCCAUUGGUAAGUCUACAGAAGGGACUGCCAUGAUCCAAUUUGUAUUUUUAAGAAGUUGCAUUAAUUGCUGUAUGGAAAAUGGACCGUCAGAGGGUAAGAAUUCAAGUUUGGGGAACAGUUGAGAGAUUUUGCAAUAGUCUGGAGGAGUGACGAUGGGGACUUGCACUAGGCUGGUAGCAGAAAAUGUGGGUGAGAAGACCACAGAGCCAGGAGAGAGCGAGGUGAAGCCAGCAGCACCUGAGUGGCCACAGGAGCAAGGAAGAGGAGGCAAGGAGGACUCCACAUUUUUGACCCGAUCAACAAGAAUAUUCAGAGUGACAUCAAGGGAAGGGGAUGGCGGGACAACUGGUACAGAAAGCAAGAAAAGAAGCCCCGGGGAGGUGGGAGUCCACGGUGAUCUGAUGCCUGAGUCCCCAGAGCCACCCUUGGCUCCCAGCUGAGAGGUACCUCCUUAUGGCGGGCACAGGAAAAAGCAGACCCCAGGAGCAGGUUAUUUUGCCAGGAGGUGCAAACCUGCUUCUCCUACUAAUUGAAAAAAAAACAAACAAAAAAAACCAAUGGAAGCAAAACCAUGCCCUCGAGCAAUGAGCUGUCUUUAUAUUCCCAUUCCUUCUUUUACGAUGAGUGCCAGCGCUGGAUCGCUUCCACCACUGCAGUGUUCCACGUGAAAGGUUUGAGAUUACCUGGAUCGACGUGAUUGAAACAGCAUAGCUGUGGCCUGGCAGAAGCAAUCAAUUCAGGCAGCUAAAUGGUGUGUAAAUGGAAAUGACCACACAACUGACUUGGCCAGGGCAAUCAAUACUGCUUAUGAAGAGAGCAAAAAAUGAGCACAUCUGCUGGGCUAUGGUCCCAUUCAAUGGCUAUAAGUAGAUACAAUUUACAAAGAAUGUGGACAGAAAACCUUGCUCCAGAGGAUCUGGAUUUCCAGAUUUAUGUGAAAUGCCCAACUGAGCACCUGGCUCAGAGAAGGUAUUUAAAUAUUACUUUUCCCCACUUUAAUCUGGUCACAGAAUGUUUCAAGUAUUUAACUGAUUAUGCAUUUUCAGUAUCAAGUACAACCACCAAAAGCAGAUAUUGUAGAUAAUUGGUAUGUACACAACUCAAAUGAUGGAAACAGGUGUAAAUGGGGCCCAAAGAGUUACCUACUGAUUUUGCACAUUUUGUGGAACAUGACCAUCAGUCAGCACAUUUUCAAAGUGAACGGUUAGAUGACUUUCAAUUCAGAGAGCUUCUUCUGUUACACUUUACUGUUCUUGAUAUUAUCCUAAGUGUUUUCUAGUAAUUAGAUGGCUAAUUAGAACAUUACUUCAGGACUAUAAUAAUUCUGAUAUUUCAUAUGUGGCAAUAAUAAAAAGGUAAGUAAUUUGUUCCAAAACACUAUGUAUGUAUGUUUGUAUGUAUGUAUGUAUCUAUCAUCUAUUUAUCUCUAUGUAUUCAUUCAUUCCUU